GAGUGCCUGUUCCUCUGGAGGUAACAGGUUCCUCUGCAGGUAACACGUUCCUCUGCAGGUAACAGGUUCCUCUGGGAGGUAACAGGUUCCUCUGCAGGUAACAGGUUCCUCUGGGAGGUAACACGUUCCUCUGCAGGUAACAGGUUCCUCUGGAGGUAACGCGUUCCUCUGCAGGUAACACGUUCCUCUGCAGGUAACACGUUCCUCUGCAGGUAACGCGUUCCUCUGCAGGUAACAGAAUCGGUCCCCCAGAAUAAAGAAAGGAUCUUUCGUUCCUCUCUUCAUUUUGUUUCUUUUUAUUAUCGUCACAUUAAUGUUAAAACACUGAUGUUACAUUGAUGCACCUGCAGAGAACCCGCAGUCCUCAGUUGAGGAUGUUUCUGUUCAGGAUGUUUCUGUUUGUCAACCUUUGGGUGGUGGGUGUGUAGCCUCCAGCCAGUAACAACAGUGCGCAGGGUGUGAAUGGGGACGUAGCAACCAGGUGUUAGGUGGUAACCAAGAGGAAGCUACGAGGGGGAGGAGCUAACUUUGGACACUUACCAACCUUCUGCCUUUAAUGUUUGCUUCCUGCAGUGAGAACAGUCUCUCUGUAACUCGUGUUGUGACAUCAGAUUCACCUUUCACAACCUGACCAGUUCCUCAUGCAGCCUUUGAUUUGCUCAGAGAGGAAACUGAUCAGAUCCGCUCAGUUCUUCUGUAACUAAACAUCAGUUAUUACUGUAACAGUGGUUCUCAUCCAGACAGAAAAAUGUGCCCUAUUUUAAUUUCAGUGUUAUUUAACUGACUAGAAGUUGAAUGAGAGAAUGUAUAAUAUUGACAAUCAGUAGUUAUAAUGCAGUUAUAAUAAUGACUCUGUGAUCAGACUACUGACUCUUUAUUUUGUGUUUAUGUAGGAAAUGAAGAUGUUUUUAACUCUCUGUUGUCUCUGUGUGACUCUUUUCUC